rnacentral:rRNA from 1 species
AUUGAACGCUGGCGGCAGGCCUAACACAUGCAAGUCGAGCGGAUGACGGGAGCUUGCUCCUUGAUUCAGCGGCGGACGGGUGCGUAAUGCCUAGGAAUCUGCCUGGUAGUGGGGGACAACGUUUCGAAAGGAACGCUAAUACCGCAUACGUCCUACGGGAGAAAGCAGGGGACCUUCGGGCCUUGCGCUAUCAGAUGAGCCUAGGUCGGAUUAGCUAGUAGGUGAGGUAAUGGCUCACCUAGGCGACGAUCCGUAACUGGUCUGAGAGGAUGAUCAGUCCCACUGGAACUGAGACACGGUCCAGACUCCUACGGGAGGCAGCAGUGGGGAAUAUUGGACAAUGGGCGAAAGCCUGAUCCAGCCAUGCCGCGUGUGUGAAGAAGGUCUUCGGAUUGUAAAGCACUUUAAGUUGGGAGGAAGGGCAGUAAGUUAAUACCUUGCUGUUUUGACGUUACCGACAGAAUAAGCACCGGCUAACUCUGUGCCAGCCGCCGCUGUAA